rnacentral:rRNA from 1 species
AUGCCCAAUGCAUCUCAAGAUAAUAUUUCAAGAAGUCUCAAGCAUCUAAGCUUUGGGAUGUCCCGGCUUCCGACUUUCACCAUGCCUCCCAAAGCUCCUAAAGCACCCAUCACUUGCAAUUGGAUGAGGUCCAACGUCACCGACGAGACCUUAACGGAUUUCAUGAAGUCAGGUUACCUGCCUAAAAAGGACGUCAUGUCCUACCGUGCCCCUGACCCGUCAGAGGAGAGACCACAGCCAAAGGACGGGGAGGUAGUGAUUUUUGCGGAUCACAUGAGCCGGGGCUUCGCACCGCUCGGCUCAAAGUUCUUCAGAGAUGUACUGAAUUUCUUCGACCUGCGGCCUCAAGACAUAGGACCCAACUCGGUGUCAAACAUAUGCAAUUUCCAAGUGUUCUGUGAGGUCUACCUUGGAGAAGAACCCAGCUUGCUGCUCUUCAGAGAGCUCUUCUACCUGAACCGUCAGAACGAGUGUGCCAACGGGCCAAGCUUGGAACUUGGUGGCAUCUCUAUCCAGCGACGGAGGGACUGCCUUUUCCCUUACGCCGAGCCGCCAAGCCACCCCAAAGACUGGAACCAGACAUGGUUCUAUUGCCAAGACACGUCGCCGGCUGAUGAGAGCCCGCUGCCCGGCUUUCGCCCCUCGCGUCUGGAACCAACACACCCUCCGUCAGACAAGCUAACUCAAGCGGAGCGCCAACCUCUACUCCCCACCAUUAACAAGAUCAAGGCUCUCCUGGGCAAUGGUCUCAACGGAAUUGACCUUAUCCGGGUCCGGAUCUCGUGGCGGGUGAUCCCAUUGAGCCGCCGCCCCGGCUUAAUGUGUGAGUACACGGGCCGAAAGGAUGAUCCCCUGAGACACAGCCGCAACGAUCUUCCUGAAGACGUUGCUGAGGACAUGACCAAGGCUCUUUUGAACGAGAGCUUGGCAGACUGCGGGAGGACCGGGCUAGCCCCCUUCUGCAAGACCAACCCAGCCCCAGCGGCUGAUGACAAAUUCUGGAAGGUCAAAUAUGACCAUGAGGCGGCCAAGAAGGCCAGGAAAGCCAAGAAAGCCGCCAAGAGAGCCGCUCCCCGCAAGAAGGGAAGCAGGCCUACUGCUUCAGAGCUACUGCAACUAAGCGACAGCUCCGAGUCAGAGGAUGAUACCGGAGCAAGCAACCUGGUGGUUGAAGAGACUCAUGAAAGCCGGUGGCACACCCGGACCAACAAGGACGCUGACCUCUCCUCCGGUUUACCUGACGCGUCGAGGAAACGCCGGACCGAGGAAACUUCCCCCUCUUCUGGCGACUCUAUGGAGUCGAACCUGCCGGCUUUCAAGACCGUGCCCGGUGCCCAGGCAAAACUCAGCAAAAGGGCGAAGAAGAACAAGCCGGUCGAAGAGCCGGACUUGCCUGAACCGGAGGUAGCCGCUCAAGAACCGCCAGCUGCCUCUGCUCCUGAAGCCACUGCUCCAACCGACAAGCCAAUAGCAGAAGCUUCUGCUAACCCGGAGGCCUCCAGCUCGGCUCAACCAGCAGAUGACCCAGAUGUGGUAAUCACCCGGACGGAAUUUGUUGAGCCGGGGAGACCUACUGCGCUGGCCAAGUGCUCCGCUAAGGAGGAGCUGUUAGGGCGCCACCGGGCCAACCUGGACCUGUCCGACUAUGCCAAUCUGAGCAUCGAAGAGAUCAUCUUCGGCUAUAUCAGCCAGGUGCACAAGAGCCGGGAUCUAGAGAUUGCCAUGGUGAACCAGAUUCAGCAGAAGUGA